rnacentral:hammerhead_ribozyme from 1 species
AUCCAGCUGACGAGUCCCAAAUAGGACGAAAUGUGUGCUAUCCUGGAU